GUGUCCUGCCUCGUGAUCGUCUUCUCACCUUUCACGCGGGCAGGCAGAAGAAACGGAAGCCCCCGCGAGGACGUGACUCGCGGGGGCUUCCG
rnacentral:ncRNA from 1 species